AGUUAAUAAACUUUUAUAGUAUAUGUUUUGAAAACAUAAAAAAGAAUCAAUUUUCUAUUAACUU
rnacentral:tRNA from 1 species